GCCUUCGUGAUGUAGUGGUCAGCACGCUAUGCGCGUAUUCCAGAGGUCCGUGGUUCGAGUCCCGGCGAAGGCG
rfam:Stegodyphus mimosarum contig51530, whole genome shotgun sequence.